UUAGACCUGGGGUGGUGGCUGGUCAGGGCUCGGUGCUGGAGAAGGGGGCUGUGCGGGACCCAUGCGGGGCUGGGAAGUCUGUGACACUGAGGCCCUCAUCUCCUUGUCUCUAUCCUGUGUGGCCCUGUCCCACCUCUGGGAUCCUGGAGGAAUGAAGACCACCCAUGAGGAAGCCCUGAGGCAGGACCUGUGGAAUCUGCUCUUAAGGCUCUUAAGGGAGGUUUGCAGUCCCUAAAUGCUUCAGGUGGCCACGUCAGGCGGCACAGACUCCGCUCCCCAAGCCUGG
rnacentral:lncRNA from 1 species